UACGUAGGGGGCUAGCGUUGUCCGGAUUUAUUGGGCGUAAAGAGCGUGUAGGCGGCCAGGUAGGUCUGCUGUGAAAACUCGAGGCUCAACCUCGAGACGCCGAUGGAAACCAUCCAGCUAGAGUCCGGAAGAGGAGAGUGGAAUUCCCGGUGUAGCGGUGAAAUGCGCAGAUAUCGGGAAGAACACCCGUGGCUAAGGCGGCUCUCUGGGACGGUACUGACGCUGAGACGCGAAAGCGUGGGGAGCGAACAGG
rnacentral:rRNA from 1 species